UUGUUCCACCAAGAUGAGAACUUCACUCACUUCUUCCAAAGUCUCAGAAAACCCUUAAAGAAAUACUGAGUUGUGGCCUGUGGAGUUAGUCUGCCUGGUUUCAAAUCCAUGCUUUGCUGGACUUCCCAUUUGGCUCCUAACAAAUCCAUGCUUUGCUACUUCCUAGCUGUGUUUGGACAAGUCCACUAAACUUUACAGCUUUAGUUUCUUCUCUGUAAAAUAAAGAGGCGUAAAGUUCUAUUCAAUUUACUUUCUUUUCGUUUUCUUUUUCAUUUUUGGCCACCCCAUGGCAUAUGGAGUUCCCAGGCCAGGCAUCAGGUCUGAGCCACAGUUGUGACCUACUUUGCAGCUGCAGCAGUGCUAGAUCCUUGAACCUGCUGUCUUUGGCUGGGGGUCAAACCUGCAUCCUGGCGUUGCAAAGAUGCUGCCAUCUCGUUGCGCCACAAUGGGAACGCCUACUUCAUUUUCAAGUGAAAAUAAAGAAGGGCCAAUGUGAUGUAAUCCAAAUACAUAGUUUCAAAGAGCUAGUUUAAACCAGUGAUGAAAUUCAAAAUGUGUUCAAGAUGGACAGUGUUUUCUUUGAGUAGUCCUCAGUAAAUGUAAAUUUUAAAUACACACAUGCACAAAUGUGUUCAUAUCAUGGCUACUGUUUUUUUAGCUCAUUGUUUUCUUUUUAAAUUAGUUUGAUGCCCUUUCCUCCCUCUUUUCCUCCCAUUCCCCUUUCUUUGUAAUCCAUGCUAAGAUACAUGCAUCAGAGUUCCCAGUGUGGCUCAGUGGUAACGAUCCCGACUAGAUGCAUGAGGCUGCAGGUUCAAUCCCUGGCCUCCAUCAGUGGAUUAAGGAUCUGGUGUUGCCAUGAGCUGUGGUAUAGGUCAAAGACAUGGCUUGGAUCCAGUAUUGCUGUGGCUAUGGCGUAGGCUGGCAGCUGCCGCUUCAAUUGGACCCCUAGCCUGGAAACUUCCAUAUGCUGCAACUGUGGCCCUAAAAAACAAAAACAAAUAAAUAAAUAAAAUUUUAAAUAAAAUAAAUUAAAAAAUAAGAAUUUUAAAAGAUGCAUGUAUAUCUUUCACAUUCCUUUAAUGAGGUAGAUACCACAUAUAGAUGCAUGUGCACAUAUACACAUUUAGAUGUGGGGGUGGAUUCAUUGUUUUACAAACACGGGACUAUAUAUAUAUAUAUAUAUUUUUUUUUAGGGGUUUGAAAUUCCAGCUCCUUUUAUUUAUUUAUUUAUUUUGUAAGUCACUGUUUUUUUCAAUUUUUUUACAAUAUGUUUUUUAAAUUACUCAAUGAAUUUUAUUACAUUUAUAGUUGUACAAUGAUCAUCACAACCCACUUUUAUACAGUUUCCAACCCAAAUCCCCAGCCCAUCCUCCCACCUUGCCCCCAAUCUGUCUCCUUUGGAAACCAUAAGUUUCUCAAAGUCUCUGAGUCAGUAUCUGUUCUGUGAAGAAGUUCAUUGUGCCCCUUUUUUAGAUUCCACAUGUAAAGUGAUAGCAUAUGAUGUUGAUGUCUCACUGCAAACAUGGGAUUAUAUUGUUAAUGCUUUUCUACCCCUUGUUUAUAAACAACACCUUGUAGAAACCCCUCCUAGCCAACUGGUAUACCUCUAUUCCUUUCUUUUACAUUGUCUGCAUACUUGUUCUUGAUGUGGAUUACCAUGAUUCAAUCAUUUUUCUGUAGUAAUGAGGAUGCAUUUCUUUCUAGUUUUUUUUUUAAUCUCUCUAAAUAGCACUGUAAUGAAACAUCUUGAUACAUAUAUUCUAAUACUGUAGAUUAGUUUUUCCUUAAACUAACUACAAGUUAGCAUACAUGGAAUCAUAUACUAUGAACUCUUUUGUAUCUGGAUUAUUUUGUCAGCAAAAUAGUUUUGAGAUUGGGCCUUGUUGCAUGUAGAAUUACUCCUUUCCAUUGCUGAGUAGUAUUCCAUUGUAUGCAUACAUUUCAGUUUGUUCUUCUGAACAUGUGUAUUUUAAAUUUUAAUAGAUCAUGAAAACUGAAUGACUAGAUUUCUUUCCCCAAAUGCUGUAAGAUUUGCAUUUCUACCGAUAAUAUAUAUUGAGGUGUUUUUAAUUUUGACUGGCCUGAUUACUGUGAAGAGGGUCUUAUUAUUAAUUUCAUUUGCAUUUCCCCAGCUAUGGUAAAUUCAAGCAUCUUUUUAUACAUUUGUUGCCUAUCUGGAUUGGUGUUCUAAGAAUUGCCUUUUCCUAUUUUUUAAGCAUUUUUCAAUUGAGUUGCCAAUUUAUUAAAUCUUCCCCUAGCAUAUAAAUGAGUUCCUGUAUUAAUUUCUAUAUAGUUUACCUCUGCAUAAUUCAUAUCUAUACUAUAUAUAUAAACAUUAUAUAAAUUAAAAUUUUGUCAUUACAAGUAUUAUUUUCACAAAUCUAUCCUUUGAGUUUUGAAUUUGUGUCUUUUACCAUGCACACUUUAAUGUGGUCAGAUAUAUCUUUUCUUUUAUUGUCUCUGUGUUUUGCAAGCUUAUUAAGGUUUCCUUGUCCCUAGAUUGUACACAAAGUCUCUCAGAUAUUGCUGCAGUAUUUUGUUCUGUUUUAUUGUUUACUACUAAGACUGAUCUCUGGGGAAUAUAUUUUGGUAUAUGGUGUAAAAUGAAUUGUGUUUUAUUUCUGAUGGAUAGCAGUUGUACUGGUAUCCUUUUAAAGAUGAUUUUUUAUUUUUCCUUUAAAUUGAACUACAUUUGAUGCAUAAUAUAUAUUAAAUUCUCACAUACAAGAUGAUUUUUCUGGAUUCUCUUUUCUUUUCCCAUAUUCUAUUUCAUACCAAUACCAUGUUUACUUCAUAAUGGCUUAAUAAUAUGCUCGGAUGUCUGGUAGGGCAGUUCCCCUGCUACUGUUCUUUUUUAUGUACUCGAGCAUUUAUUCUUUCAUAUGAAGUUUAAAAUCAUUUAUCCAGUCUCCUCCCUGACUCAAGAAAGGAAAAACAAAACAACUGUGCAAUUGUUAAUUAUAAUGGCACAAUAUUUAUGUAUUUUUGAGAGAAUUAAUAAUUUUGUGAUAUUUCACCUUCUCAUCUGAGAGGCAGUCUGUCUUUUCAUUUAUUCAGACCUUGUUUUGUGACCCUUAAUAAGAUUAGUCCCUUUAUUUAUUAACUGUAUUCCUUGAUGUUUUUGCUCACGAUUUUAUGAAUAGGAUAUUUUCCCUUUUCCAUUGCUACAUGCUUGUUAUUAGAAUAAAUAAAAGCUAAUAUUUUAUGUGAAUUUAUCCUAUAUCCUCUGAUUCUUAAAAUCUCUUAUUAAUCCUAAUGCUUUGGGAAAAAAAAGAUCUCUUGGGAAUUCAUAUCAUGAGCAAAAAUGCCUCAUAUUCAUUUCUUUUCAAAUGUUUAUUUCAGUUAUUCAUUUUCUUUUUUCUUUUCUUUAAUUGCAUUUACUAGAUCUCCCAAGACAAAAUCAAACUAAUAGUCAUAACAGGCUUUUCUGUCUGGACCUUAAUUUUAAAUGAAAUAUAGUUUUCGUGUUGCCAUUAAGUUUUUGGUGGAGGACUCCUUGGAAAUAUUUCUAUAUUUAAGCAGUUUCCUUACAGGUAUAUAUUAUUAGGGUUAUAUUAGGAAUACCUGCUGUAUUGAAUCAAAUACCUUUUAAGUAUCUGUUAAUAAAGUCAUAUUAAUUAUUCCCUUAGUUUGUUUAAGGAAAGAUAUGGUAUGUUAACCAAUCUUCUGAUAUUAGAAUACCUUUUCCAGAGUUCCCACUGUGGUGCAAUGGGUCAAGGAUCCUUCAUUGUUUCCACAGAGGCUUGGGUUGCUGCUGAGGCGUGAGUUUGAUUCUGGCCUGGUGCAGUGGGUUAAGGAUCUGGCACUGCCACAGAUGUGAUGUAGGUCGCAGCUGCUGCUCAGAUUCAAUCCCUGGCCCGGAAACUUUAAUAUGCCACAGAUACAGCCAAAAAACAAACAAACAAACAAACAACUUUUUCCAUUCCUGGAGUAAACUCUUAACUGGUUUAUUGAUACAUUGUUUGCAUCUCUUCUAAUUAGAAUUUUUGAGUCUAUAUUUAUAAAUAGAAUAUUUUUCCACAAAAAAAGAGGUUUUGAUAAACUUCUGUGAAAGAAUUAGAGAUUAUAUUUAGAGUCUGACAGUUACUGGGAAUAUUAUCACCAUCAAUCUAAUCAGAAAGUCUUCCUAAGCACAGGGAAGAUAACAAGAUCACAGUAGCAGAUACAAGUCUUCCAGAACUCUUAAAAUUUUCACAUGAAAGCUUGAAUCAUCAUUGGCAACAAGUACAUAUGUCGUUUGCUUUCCUUGAAGUGAUAGGCUUCCUUCAUUCACUUUUAAGCAAAUGGCUGCCUGUUCCCCAAAUCUUUUUUUUUUUUGGAGGGGAAGAGGGACCAAACCUGCAGCAGAUGGAGGUUCCCAGGCUAGGGGUCGAAUUGGAGCUGCAGCUCCUGGCCUGUCCCACAGCCAUAGCAACACUGGGUCCUUAACCCACUGAGCAGGACCAGGGAUCGGACCCACAUCAUCAUGGAUACUAGUCAGGUUCCUUUCUGCUGAGCCACAAUGGGAACUCCCCAACUCUUUUUUUUUUCUCCCACUGCACCCAAAGCAAGAGGACGUUCCCAGAAUAUGCCAUCUUCUUGAUCCUGUGCAUCUUUUCUGCCUCAGUAUCCCCUUCACCCAACACAUGGUACUCAAUCAAGAUUAUUGAGGAGGAGCUCCUGUCGUGGCACAGCAGAAACGAAUCUAACUAAGAACCAUGAAGUUGUGGGUUCGAUCCCUGGCCUCACUCAGUGCGUUAAGGAUCUGGUGUUGCUGUGAGCUGUGGUAUAGGUCACAGAAGUGGCUUGGAUCCCAUGUUGCUAUGGCUGUGGCGUACGCUGGCAGCUAGCUCUGAUUCGACCCCUAGUCUGGAAACCUCCAUAUGCCGCAAGAGCGGCCCUAGAAAAGGUAGAAAGACCAGAAAAAAGAAGAAGAAAAAAGAAAGAAAGAAAUUCUUAAACAUUGCUUUGUGAAGAAUUCUUUUUUCAGGGAGGCAUGGGCAUCAUGUCAAGUAUUUGAGGAUGAGUGCUGCUAUCCAGCCACCACAACCUUUAUCUUUUAUUUUAUUUAUUUUAUUUUAUUUUAUUUUUCCUUUUUAGGGCCACACCCACAGCAUAUGGAAGUUCCCAGGCUAGGGGU
ensembl:lncRNA